rnacentral:rRNA from 1 species
AUUGAACGCUGGCGGCAUGCUUUACACAUGCAAGUCGAACGACAGCAUGGGCUUCGGCCUGAUGGCGAGUGGCGAACGGGUGAGUAAUGCAUCGGAACGUGCCGUGUAGUGGGGGAUAACACAGCGAAAGUUGUGCUAAUACCGCAUACAUCCUACGGGAAAAAGCAGGGGAUCGCCAGACCUUGCGCUAUACGAGCGGCCGAUGUCCGAUUAGCUAGUUGGUAGGGUAAAGGCCUACCAAGGCGACGAUCGGUAGCGGGUCUGAGAGGACGAUCCGCCGCACUGGAACUGAGACACGGUGCAGGCUCCUACGCGAGGCAGCAGUGGGGAAUUUUGGACAAUGGGCGAAAGCCUGAUCCAGGAAUGCCGCGUGAGUGAAGAAGGCCCUUGGGUUGUAAAGCGCUUUCAGUCGGGAAGAAGGAAUGGGAGCUAAUAUCACCUGUGACAGACGGUACCGGCAUAAGAAGCACCGGCUAACUACGCGCCAGCCGCCGCAGUAA